GACGAACGCUGGCGGCACGCCUAACACAUGCAAGUCGAACGGAGAUUACUAAGCUUGCUUUGUAAUCUUAGUGGCGGACGGGUGAGUAACACGUGAGCAACCUGCCUCUGAGAGAGGGAUAGCUUCUGGAAACGGAUGGUAAUACCUCAUAAUGUAGCGAAACCGCAUGAUUUUGCUACCAAAGAUUUAUCACUCAGAGAUGGGCUCGCGUCUGAUUAGCUAGUUGGUGAGGUAACGGCUCACCAAGGCGACGAUCAGUAGCCGGACUGAGAGGUUGAACGGCCACAUUGGGACUGAGACACGGCCCAGACUCC
rnacentral:rRNA from 1 species